GAAAACUGCUGGUGAAGUACAAAAGGCAUGGAUGUUGGAAUGAAGGCUGGAGCCAAAUCCUGGCUCGCCCCCUUACUAGUCACAUAGCAAAUCCUGGCUCACCCCUCACUAGUCACAUAUCAAAUCCUGUCUCACCCCUCACCAGUCACAUAUCAAAUCCUGCCUCACCCCCUUACUAGUCACAUAUCAAAUCCUGCCUCACCCCCUUACUAGUCACAUAUCAAAUCCUGGCUCACUCGUCACUAGUCACAUAUCAAAUCCUGGCUGGCUCACCCCUUACUAGCCACAUAUCAAAUCCUGGCUGACCCCUCACUAGGUACAUAUCGAAUCCUGGCUCACCCCUCACUAGUCACAUAUUGAAUCCUGGCUCACCCCUCACUAGUCACAUGUCAAAUCCUGGCUCACCCCUCACUAGUCACAUAUCAAAUCCUGGCUGACCCCUUACUAGUCACGUAUCGAAUCCUGGCUGACCCCCUGACUAGUCACGUAUCAAAUCCUGGCUGACCCCUUACUAGUCACAUAUCAAAUCCUGGCUCGCCCCUCAGUAGCCACGUAUUGAAUCCUGGCUCACCCCUCACUUGUCACGUAUUGAAUCCUGGCUCACCCCCUUACUAGUCACAUAUCA
rnacentral:lncRNA from 10 species